UUCUAUGCAGAACGAAGAAGAAACUGGAGCGAUAAGUGUUGGAGCUCCGUUGUUACGAUACACGAAUCACGAACGACACGUUCGCGAGAACGAUGAUUGCGCAGUAUAAAAACAGAUCCGUCGUGUUUCAAGUUCGCGUUCGUGAUUGUGCAAACGAACUCGUUUUCGAACGAACUUUUCAGAAAAAUCAUUCUGCGAACGAUGAUUAGUGGUGAAUGAUCGAGGUGUAUCAAGGACGAGUCGAAAAAAGAAAGCGCCGAACGAUCGUCGGUUCACCGUCGGUAGCAAGGUAUUGCUAUAAACUGGCCGAUUUUGUCGCGUCGCGCGAACAUUAAUGGAUUACGUAAAUCAUCGAACGGCGAUUAUAUUUAUAACGAUGCCCAACGGUGUAAAACUGGCUGAAAAAGAAGGAACAAGAGAAACAUACACGGGUUCAUGCACACUCGUUAAAUACAUAUAACGCAAUAUGUACGAAAAGAAAAACGCGUUUAUAUACAUAUGUACAUUUGUUUGCGUGCACCAAAGUGCUGAUAUAGAGACACUUCGUGAUUUGUCUUCCCCCUUCCGGCCUCUUUUUUUUUUUCUUCACUCGUAGCUGAUCGGCUACGAUUGCUCAUCGCUAACUAUUUAUCUAUUUGUUUGUGCCGAUGACUUUUCUUUAGUAUUGCGUUUACUAAAGUUGGAAACGCGUAACGCUCGUUUGUACGAAAAGCAGUGGAAUCGAUAGGUAUUUAAUCAAGUUCGCGAACGUCGGUCGAGAACGGUUAGUUACGACUAUGGAUAUCGUGUAUCGAAACGAACGCGAGCGCGACGUACCAGAUAGCAGAUAGACGAAGCAAGGCGAUCCCGUAGGUAGCUCUCGUCGUUCGAACGAAAUCAACGACGUACGUUGCAGAAAAUAUUGAAAAGGAAAGCGUGGAUUUUGUUUUCGUAUAUCGUUGACACGAGAUCGCGGUUAAAUUCCGAAAAUUGAACUAAAUUUAAUACCGCAUUGAUCGUACUCGAUCGAUCGAUGGCAAAGAAAAAAGAAAGAAUGCCAAAGCAACGAUACAAGUUUGGCUAAUUUACUUGAAAGUUAAAAUAUCCAUCAAACGAGCGGUCGUACGUACGUAAUCACGUGUUCGUGCUAGUUUACCGAUCAUAAGUAUUAACAUUGUAUUGCCGAUAAAUAAGAGGUUCUACAGCGCAGCAAAACAAUUUAAAUUUAGCUCACGCUCGUGCGAUACACCAAAUAAGGUAUCCCCGUAUAAUUCAGUAUUUUUCCUUGUUGUUACGUGGUAUAUUCUAAAGAAAUACAAGUAAUCUGUCGAGAUAACGUUGUCGUUCAUUUUACAGCGAAUUCGACGUUCGAUUAAACGACACCAGGUACCCUUUUCCCCUUCCUUGUUGUCUCCAGUUCGUUUUCUUUUACACUUUAUUUACCAAACGAGCGCAUUUUGUUGAAAUAUUACAGUCGCAGAUAUACACGUUGUAUGUACAUAGAAAAAAGAAAGAAAAGAGAGAGAAAAGACGGGCUGGGCAAUUUUUCCUAAAAAUUUUCACAUGACACGCCAGCGUAUCAUAGUUUUUUAUAUACUAUAUGUAUGUAUAUGUAUAACGUAUGUACAU